GUGCUCGCUUUGGCAGCACAUAUACUAAAAUUGAAACAGAAUAUUAGCAUGGCCCCUGCACAGGAAUGACACACAAAUUUGUGAAACAUAAAAAAACAAC
ensembl:snRNA U6 U6 spliceosomal RNA